UUGAAGAGAAUAGCGCCAGGACUGCUUGCAGUUGACGAGGACCAGAUUUAUCGAAAGAUUCGGCGGGUGAUCUGGAGGUUUGAUACGACCUUAAAAGUAUGACAAAAACAAUCUGUGAAGAUUGAACAAAUUCAUAUAGGUAUCCUCC
rfam:Firmicutes bacterium CAG:308 genomic scaffold, scf28